rnacentral:rRNA from 1 species
GCCAGCCCGCUCAGAAACUCAAAGGAAUUGACGGGGGCCCGCACAAGCGGUGGAGCAUGUGGUUUAAUUCGACGCAACGCGAAGAACCUUACCUGGGCUUGACAUCCCGAUCGCACCUUAUGGAAACAUAGGGGUCAGUUCGGCUGGAUCGGUGACAGGUGCUGCAUGGCUGUCGUCAGCUCGUGUCGUGAGAUGUUGGGUUAAGUCCCGCAACGAGCGCAACCCUUGUCCUUAGUUGCCAGCAUUCAGUUGGGCACUCUAAGGAGACUGCCGGUGUCAAACCGGAGGAAGGUGGGGAUGACGUCAAGUCCUCAUGGCCCUUAUGUCCAGGGCUACACACGUGCUACAAUGGCCGGUACAAAGGGGCGCAAGACCGCGAGGUGGAGCAAAUCCCAAAAAACCGGUCUCAGUUCGGAUUGGAGUCUGCAACUCGACUCCAUGAAGUUGGAAUCGCUAGUAAUCGCGUAUCAGCAUGACGCGGUGAAUACGUUCCCGGGCCUU